UAAAAAAGUAGUGUUUGAAUGAUAAUGCUAUAGUGUUGAGAUAGGGACCAAUUAAGGCUAGAAAGAACAAUAUUUAAUGGUAACUGAAACUGCAUUCCUUUUUUUCCUUUUCAAAAACAAAAAUAUUUUCAAAGCUUCUUCUUAUUUUUGCUAAUGCUUUCCAAAGUUUCUUUCAUUUCUGCAUAAAGAAACUCUCACUCACAGAGCUGCACUGAGUCUAAAUGUAGCGACAAAUUAUAGUUGACACCAUUCAUAACGCCAAAACCCACUGCAAGCUAUCUCAUAGAGAAAUGCUUUUAGUCAAAUACGUGGCGUAAAAGACCAAGUAAAAAGUAAAUUAUCAAAUACAUCACUGCACCAAAAAACACAAAGAAAAAUGCAACCAGUGCAACUUCUGCUCAUAUUACACUAUAGUUGAUAGGGUUUUAA
rnacentral:misc_RNA from 1 species